rnacentral:rRNA from 1 species
UCCGUAGGUGAACCUGCGGAGGGAUCAUUACACAAAUAUGAAGGCGGGCUGGAACCUCUCGGGGUUACAGCCUUGCUGAAUUAUUCACCCUUGUCUUUUGCGUACUUCUUGUUUCCUUGGUGGGUUCGCCCACCACUAGGACAAACAUAAACCUUUUGUAAUUGCAAUCAGCGUCAGUAACAAAUUAAUAAUUACAACUUUCAACAACGGAUCUCUUGGUUCUGGCAUCGAUGAAGAACGCAGCGAAAUGCGAUAAGUAGUGUGAAUUGCAGAAUUCAGUGAAUCAUCGAAUCUUUGAACGCACAUUGCGCCCUUUGGUAUUCCAAAGGGCAUGCCUGUUCGAGCGUCAUUUGUACCCUCAAGCUUUGCUUGGUGUUGGGCGUCUUGUCUCUAGCUUUGCUGGAGACUCGCCUUAAAGUAAUUGGCAGCCGGCCUACUGGUUUCGGAGCGCAGCACAAGUCGCACUCUCUAUCAGCAAAGGUCUAGCAUCCAUUAAGCCUUUUUUUCAACUUUUGACCUCGGAUCAGGUAGGGAUACCCGCUGAACUUAAUCCGUAGGUGAACCUGCGG